GCAGGCAAUGGGUGGAAGGACAAAUUCUCUUUAUUUUCUUCCUAAAUUUACUCUGUGAUCUGCACUUUCCAAUGACAUUUGUCCAAGAGGCACUGACUGAACAGGCUGUUUGAUCCCCUAACAGAUCAUGAUUCUGGAAGGAGGUGGUGUAAUGAAUCUCAACCCCGGCAACAACCUCCUUCACCAGCCGCCAGCCUGGACAGACAGCUACUCCACGUGCAAUGUUUCCAGUGGGUUUUUUGGAGGCCAGUGGCAUGAAAUUCAUCCUCAGUACUGGACCAAGUACCAGGUGUGGGAGUGGCUCCAGCACCUCCUGGACACCAACCAGCUGGAUGCCAAUUGUAUCCCUUUCCAAGAGUUCGACAUCAACGGCGAGCACCUCUGCAGCAUGAGUUUGCAGGAGUUCACCCGGGCGGCAGGGACGGCGGGGCAGCUCCUCUACAGCAACUUGCAGCAUCUGAAGUGGAACGGUGACUCUCUCUUUCUGCCAGUGCAGUAGUGACCUGUUCCAGUCCACACACAAUGUCAUUGUCAAGACUGAACAAACUGAGCCUUCCAUCAUGAACACCUGGAAAGACGAGAACUAUUUAUAUGACACCAACUAUGGUAGCACAGUAGAUUUGUUGGACAGCAAAACUUUCUGCCGGGCUCAGAUCUCCAUGACAACCACCAGUCACCUUCCUGUUGGUAAGCUAGUCACCUGAUAUGAAAAAGGAGCAAGACCCCCCUGCCAAGUGCCACACCAAAAAGCACAACCCGAGAGGGACUCACUUAUGGGAAUUCAUCCGCGACAUCCUCUUGAACCCAGACAAGAACCCAGGAUUAAUAAAAUGGGAAGACCGAUCUGAGGGCGUCUUCAGGUUCUUGAAAUCAGAGGCAGUGGCUCAGCUAUGGGGUAAAAAGAAGAACAACAGCAGCAUGACCUAUGAAAAGCUCAGCCGAGCUAUGAG
rnacentral:lncRNA from 1 species